GGGGAGGGGCGGCCAAUACAUGCAAGUCGAGCGGACCGAACGGAAGCUUGCUUCUGUUCGGUUAGCGGCGGACGGGUGAGUAACACGUGGGUAACCUGCCCGUAAGACCGGGAUAACUCCGGGAAAAACGGGGCGUUUUAAUACCGGAAAAACACCAGAAGACCCCCCAGUGGUCUUCGGGUAAAAAGGUGGCUUUUGCUUAACCCACUUACGGAGGGGCCCCCGGGCCCCAUAAAGCUAGUUGGGGAGGUAAACGGCUUUCACCAAAGGCGACGAGGCGUUACCCGCCCUUGAGAGGGGGACCCGGCCACAAUGGGAAUUGAGACACCGCCCCCAGACUCCUUACGGGAGGGCACCAGUAAGGAAUCUUUUCCCCAAUUGGACGAAAGUUCGGACGGAGCGACCCCCCGUGAACCAAAAAAGUCUUUUCGAAUCGAAAAGCUCUGUUGUUAGGGAAGAAGAAAUACCCUUUCGAAUAGGGCGGUUACGGGGACGGUACCUAAAAGAAAAAGCCCCGGAUAACUACGGGCCAGCAGCCGCGGUAAUAAGUAGGGGGGCGAGCGUUGUCCGGAAAUUAUUGGGCGUAAAGCGCGCGCAGGCGGUCCCUUAAAUUCCGAUGGGAAAGCCCACGGCUCAACCGUGGAGGCUCAUUGGAAACUGGGGGACUUGAGUGCAGAAGAGGAGAGCGGAAUUCCCACGUGCAGCGGGGAAAUGCGUAGAGAUGUGGAGGAACACCAGGGGCGAAGGCGGCUCUCUGGUCUGUAACUGACGCUGAGGCGCGAAAAGCGUGGGGAGCAAACAGGAUUAGAUACCCUGGUAGUCCACGCCGUAAACGAUGAGUGAUAAGUGUAAGAGGGGUUAAACCCUUUAGUGCUGUAGAUAACGCGUUAAGCACUCCGCCUGGGGAGUACGGCCGCAAGGCUGAAACUCAAAGGAAUUGACGGGGGCCCGCACAAGCGGUGGAGCAUGUGGUUUAAUUCGAAGCAACGCGAAGAACCUUACCAGGUCUUGACAUCCCCUGACAACCCGGGAGACAGGGCGUUCCCCCUUCGGGGGAACAGGGUGACAGGUGGGGCAGGGUUGUCGUCACCCUCCGUGCCGUGAAAAGUUGGGUUAAAUCCCCCAACAAAGCGCAACCCUCGCCCCUAGUUGCCAGCAUUCAGUUGGGCACUCUAAGGGGACGGCCGGCUAAAAGUCCGAAGAAGGGGGGGAGGACGUCAAAUCAUCAUGCCCCUUAUAAACUGGGCUACACACGGGCCACAAUGGGCGGUACAAAGGGCUGCGAACCCCCCAGGGGGAGCGAAUCCCAAAAAGCCGCUCUCCAGUUCGGAUGGCAGGCGGCAACCCCCCCGCAUGAAGCCGGAAUCGCUAGUAAUCGCGGAAAAGCAUUGCCGCGGGGAAAACGUUCCCGGGCCUUGUAAACACCGCCCGUCACACCACGAGAGCUUGCAACACCCGAAGUCGGUGAGGUAACCCGUAAGGGAGCCAGCCGCCGAU
rnacentral:rRNA from 1 species